UUUCUCAGAAGCAUAGAAAUGAUUAUUUUAUUAGAUUCAACAAGUAUCUUAACUCAGAUGAUUAUGAAAAAAGUGCAAAAACCUUGCUUAAUUAUUAUGAGCAAAAUUCUGAAGGGCCAGCAUUUCAGCUUUUAACUGCAGUUAUGUUUCAGAUAGAGAAAGAAUUUUUUCUUCAGCUUUCUUCCUAUCUUCAGUUAUCUGCCCCUGAGCCUGUAAAAAAGCUAACUGUUCAGUCUGACCUGGAAAUGGACUCUGCAGGAAAAGGGAAAUUAAGCUACUAUGAAGCAAAAGAAGGAUGAUAUCAUAAAAGUGCUUGUCGAUGGAAUUCUAGAAAAUGUUCAUGCAUCCAAUCAAUCUGUACUUGACACUGAACAGGCAGGACCUAGUAACUCUCAACCUUCAUAUGCUGAUCUGACUCCCGCUGGCUCUGUAUCAUCUGGACCUGGCCUUUCACCACAACCUAGAGAAAGAGGUAAGAGAACAUCAAGCAAAGGAAAAGGUAAAGGGAAGGGCAAAGGAAAGAAAAGAAAAACAUCUGCUGACAGAGAUUUGAACAUGACAGAGGAAGAUCUUACUAGGGUGGGACCAACAGAAGUGUCAGAUCAAAGUUGCACAUAGGAGCUGGAGAGAAAUCCUGAUUAAGAAUUAAUAGCAAGACCAGUGAGUCAGAAACCUUUUAGUAUGCCAUAUCUUUCCUUCUGAGCUUCUUUUUGGAUGUUGUUCUGGCAAUUCAGCACCUCCCGAGGCUCCCCCAGUGUUUGAUUUCCUCGAUACAGAGGCGUGUCCUAGAAUAACAGAAUUCAUUGUGUUGCAGUAUCCUAGUUUGUAAAGACAGAGCUCCUCAAAACCAAGCACAGAUGAUAUAAUGUCUUGUCUAGUCUGGUGUGAAAUUAAAUGCUUUUC